rnacentral:rRNA from 1 species
GACGAACGCUGGCGGCGUGCUUAACACAUGCAAGUCGAACGGAAAGGCCCUGCUUUUGUGGGGUGCUCGAGUGGCGAACGGGUGAGUAACACGUGAGUAACCUGCCCUUGACUUUGGGAUAACUUCAGGAAACUGGGGCUAAUACCGGAUAGGAGCUCCUGCUGCAUGGGGGGGGUGGAAAGUUUCGGCGGUUGGGGAUGGACUCGCGGCUUAUCAGCUUGUUGGGGGGGUAGUGGCUUACCAAGGCUUUGACGGGUAGCCGGCCUGAGAGGGUGACCGGCCACAUUGGGACUGAGAUACGGCCCAGACUCCUACGGGAGGCAGCAGUGGGGAAUAUUGCACAAUGGGCGGAAGCCUGAUGCAGCAACGCCGCGUGCGGGAUGACGGCCUUCGGGUUGUAAACCGCUUUCGCCUGUGACGAAGCGUGAGUGACGGUAAUGGGUAAAGAAGCACCGGCUAACUACGUG